UACGGGGGGGGUAAGCGUUGUUCGGAAUUACUGGGCGUAAAGGGCUCGUAGGUGGCCAACUAAGUCGGACGUGAAAUCCCUCGGCUUAACCGGGGAACUGCGUCCGAUACUGGUUGGCUUGAGUUUGGGAGAGGGAUGCGGAAUUCCAGGUGUAGCGGUGAAAUGCGUAGAUAUCUGGAGGAACACCGGUGGCGAAGGCGGCAUCCUGGACCAAUACUGACGCUGAGGAGCGAAAGCCAGGGGAGCAAACGGG
rnacentral:rRNA from 1 species